rnacentral:rRNA from 1 species
AUGGGUUCGUGCGUCUCGCGCUCGACGGCGUCGCCGCUGGAGGGGUCCGGGCGGGCGGUGGCCACGGCGAAGGUGGUCGGCCAGGACGGCUCCUUGGCGCAGUUCGCGGCGCCCGUCACGGCGGGCGAGGCACUGGGGGACGCCGCCCGCGCGCCGAGCUUCAUGUGCAGCGCAGACGAGCUCCGCUUCGACGCGCCCGCCCGCGCGCUGGCGGCCGAGGAGGCGCUGCAGCCCGGGUGGCUCUACUUCGCGCUGCCUAUGUCCAUGCUCCGCCGGCCGCUCUCCGGGCAGGAGAUGGCCGCCCUCGCCGUCAAGGCCAGCUCCGCGCUCGCCGUCGCCGACGGCAAAGGGCGGAAGGCGGCUCGAGUGGCGCCGCUCGUCGUCGCUGAGGAGAGCGCCGGAACAGAGGACGGUGGAUGGAGUCACCACGCGUAUGGAAAAGGCGAUGCGCUCAAGACGGUGCACGGCGGUGGUGAGACGGUGGGGAAGACGAGGAAGCGAGCCGGUGGUUCCUACGGAAGCGGCACGAGUCGUCCGGCAAGCGUGCAAAGGUUAAGCUCCAUUUUGGAGGCCGAUGACUGA